UUUAAGGUCUAACCUGCCCAAUGAGGAUUUAAAUGGCCGCAGUAUUUUGACUGUGCAAAGGUAGCAUAAUUAUUAGUUUUUUAAUUGAAAGCUUGUAUGAAGGGUUGGACGAGAUAAAAUCUGUCUUUAUUUAAAUUAAAGUAUAAUUUAACUUUUAAGUCAAAAGGCUUAAAUGUUUAUAAAAGACGAGAAGACCCUAUAGAUCUUUAUUUAGUUAAGAUUUUAAUAAUUUAGGAUUAUUUUAAUUUGGAGCCUUAAUUGAAUUUUAUUGGGGUAAUAUAAAGAUUAAAUGAAUUCUUUUUAUUUAUGACAUUAAUUUAUGAAUAUAUGAUCCAUUAAUAUUGAUUAUAAGAUUAAGUUACCUUAGGGAUAACAGCGUAAUUUUUUUGGAGAGCUCAUAUCGAUAAGAAAGUUUGCGACCUCGAUGUUGGAUUAAAAAUUAGCUUGGGUGCAGAAGCUCAAGAUUUUGGUCUGUUCGACCAUUAAAUUUUUACAUGAUCUGAGUUCAGACCGGCGUAAGCCAGGUCGGUUUCUAUCUUUAUUCAGAUAAAAUAUUUUAGUACGAAAGGACCAAGUAUUUAAUAUAAUUAUAUUUAUUUUUU
rnacentral:rRNA from 1 species